UGGGCCUAGAGUGACGAUGGGAAGCAGAGACACAGCAGAAAGCGACUCAACUUAACACCUUGCCGGAACAGCCCCUGCGCGCUCUCAUUCCUUCCUUCCGCGACACUAUCCUGUAAUCCUUCCAACAGAGCAGAGACUUCCAGCAAAGCACCGCGACAGCUCCUCCGGUGUUGGGGAUUGAACCACAGCCUUUGUGUAUGCUGGGAAGACGACUUACCACCGAGGCAUACUAGACAACUUUAACAUCAUUUUUCUUUUUUAGACAGUCUCUCUUAUGUAGUUCUGGCUGUCCUGGAACUUGGUAUGUAGAGCAAGUUGGCUUCCAAUCCAGAGAUCCUCCUGCUUCUAAGUACUAGGAUUAAAGGUUAAUGUACCUCACACCCACCUCACACUUACUUUUUGAGUGUGAGUGUGUGUCUGUAGCGGGCAGGGCAGGACUUGUCAUAUAUACUAGCUGGCCACAAACUCUUAUGGUCAUUCUUUUGAAUGUGCCUUUGCCUCUCCAGUGCGGAGAUUGUGGGCAUGUGCCACAACAGGAGGCUUUCCUGUUUCUUUUUUUAAAAAUACAGUCUCACUAUGUUCCCCAGGCUUGGCCUCCCAAGUGCUACAACUACAGGCAUGAGCCACAUGCCUGACUUAACUCACACAGCCUUAGAAAGGGGAACACUCAACCUAAGUCAGAUUUGGGAGUCGUGUGGAAAUAUAGAACUAGCCUUUCCCUAAGCUUCCCCCCACCCCCCCUUUUUACCACGUAAAUGUAUCAGUCCACAUUUUAAGUGAUGCAGUAGAAAGGUAAAGACACGGAGGGAGCCACACAACCAUAAUCUCAGCAUUAGGAGAAGCUGGGUCGGAUAGAUUCUGAGUUUGAGACAGAUUUGGGCAACACAGCAAGAUGCUCUCACAAAGCAAAAUGCAUGGGGGCAUGGUGGUGAGUGCCUUAAAUCCAAUACCAGAGUGGCUGAGAUGGUAAGUUCAGGCCAAUCAGUGCCACACCAUGAGACAGUCUCUAACAAAACCAAAGUAAAAUACAAAAAGCAAAUAACCUGUUUUGAAUGUUUUCAAUAAAGUAAGUGCAAAAGCCCUGGGAACCCGCUGAGAGUGAGCGAACGCCACGACAACUGUAGCAGCGCACCCCAGUCAGAGCACAGGAGGAAGGCUGACUACGACUCCCAGAUCUCUGGCUUUUCGUGCCACCUUGUAUCAAGAGCCUGGGAUUUCAAAUGAAGUCUGGAGUGGUCAUGCUGGGAAAGACUAUGAAUUUAGGGCUUUUGGGUUUUGUUUGCAAAGUAACACAAAGCCCUGGGUUUAACCCUUAAUACCACAUAAAUUCGGUGUGAUGAUGUACAACCAUAACUCAGUACUUGAGAGGUGGAGGCAUGUCAAGGUCACUGUGGACAAUAUAUUUAUUAAAUUCAAGGCCACCUGGGCCACAUGAAACUGUCUCAAAAAAAAAAAAAAAAAAAAA
rnacentral:lncRNA from 1 species